AACAUUCAAAAUCAAGAAAUCCUAAAAUCAUUUUUUCGCAGCAAAAUUGAUAGCCCAAAAUUGAUAACCCUAAAAUCAAGAACGCAGCUCCCACGAAGACGGUGCUCACCCUCACAGCCAUUCUUCCGCAACCAGCCGUCGCUCAGAGCCAGCCGCCGCUCAGGGCCAUUCGUCAGAAGCCACCAUCGCUGUCCACUCCACUCACAGUUCACAAGCACAUUUUGGUUGUUUAAAGUGUUCCGUCACCGUCUUCAAAGCAGAACGGUGUGCAAGAGCAAACUUUAGCUAGAUUGGAGACGAAGGGGGUGCGUCAAGUCAGGACUCUCAUUAUAUGGAGGACAGCGCACGCCAGGAGAAAGUUAGAAAGUAUGAAGAAUUUGUUGACAAACGCUUGAAACCCGAUCUUAUUCAUGCUAUUAGUCAACGGGACAAGGUUUUUUGAACAACAGCAAAUUUUGUAUCUUUUUAGGUUCGGUGUGUGCAGAUAGAAUCAGUUAAUAAUACCUUGUAAGACUGAAACAUCAACACAACAACUUUAUGUAUUAUUCAUUUCUCAUAAAGUCUGCAGUAGCAUUGAAAGUUCAAGUCAAGUAAAUCUUAGUAGUAGGCUGAACUGAAUUGGAGAUUAAUCUGCUUCUAUGAAUAACACCUAGAGGUAAAAAGCAAUUUUGACGUUGUUAUGUCACCUGACUUGUUCACUAGUUCUGAUCUGCGAAGAAACUUGAAACCUCGAGAAGAUAGUGUAACCAGUAUAAGAACUUUGGUCAAUCUUGGGUCUGAAUAUACCUGCAGCAGAAGUGUAAGUCAUUAGAAUUUCUUUCACAAACAUUUUGUUUUUUUUAGUUUGCUAAUGGGGCACCAUAUUUUAACACUAGUCCAUAUAAAUCAUGAUCAAACAUGUUUUUCAAUUGCAUAUCUUAUCUUUGGUCAGUCACUAGUCAUUGACAUUUUUGAUAUAUUUCAUUACAACGUCAUUCAUCAUCGUCUUAUCAACUAUUCAGGAUUUGUGCUACAUGGGCCAACGUGGAUGUAGACACCGUUCUACUGCCACUCCCCUCCUUCUUUUGGGUACAAUCAAUGGACAGAGAUUUAAACUCUGGAAACCCCUCCCUCACUACUAGUACAGCUAGUUCAUUUCAUUUGUGCAUUAUAAUUUGUGCAUCUUUGUUUUUGUCUGAAGUCCAUGAAAUGUAAAUCUCCUAUAUUUCAUGUAUUUUAUUUAAACUUUACAGGCCAGAUACUCAACGCAUAUUUGUGGAUAUAGGAUUUGGAUUCCAUGUGGAGUUUACUUGGUCUGAAGCUUUGAACUACAUAGAAAAAAGGGAAGAAAAGAUAGCCAGGCAGAUAGAAGAGUACACCCGGUUGAUUGCAUCAAUUAAAGCCCAAAUCAAGCUUGUAUGUCCUUAAUUCCUUUGCUUCUUAUAAUAUAUUCUUGCGUAAGUGGUGGUAAUUAGUUAAUUACGUACUACUUGUCAAAGCUUUCAAUAUUAGCUUGCAUAUCGUACACAGCCUAAGACCACAUGAGACAGAUAGGAAGCUCAAGCGUGAAGAACCCUCAAAGGGGUCUAUGCCCUUGAGGCCAAACCUACAUGCAUGUAGGUUAUGAACCAAUUUUUGGGUCAACUCACUAAGCAAGGAAAAGGUACCCCCACCUCAUAGGGGGUUGGCUCUAGCAUGCACUGGUGCAUACCAAUAGAAUUAACUAUGGACAUAUAAAAUGUGUAAAUUACAUUACCAAAUAUUUAAUUGAAAAACAAAUUGCAUGGUUUUGUUUUGAAUAUCCAGUGGUAAUGUGUUUGCUGUGCUUUAAAUUUUUAUUACCAC